UGAGAUCCUACCCAGAGAUUGAUGACAAUAAGCUGCCAUGUUCCAAACUUCGAGCGGCUUUCUGGCUGCUGUUUGUCACUCCCCGUGAUGCCUUUUAAAAGAUAAAUUGCAUGAGAAACUUCUAGAUUUCAUGGAGAAAUAUUGAAGUGAGGAGCAUUACAAACAUUUUCCCAAGAGCUCCCCUACCUGACUGUGAGCCCCUGGAGGGCAGGGUGGAGUAUCACUCAUCUCCAGGGCUGGCCACUAGAAAAUAUCAAUAAUGGAGAGAGAGGGAGAGGAGAGAGCAAGACGGAUAGAAGGUGAUGGGCCUGAGGCUUCCAGAUGGUGAGGUGUUUGUCCAAAGUCACACAGCUAGGAAGUGACAGAGUGCGGACUCAGGGCGGAUCUGGACUUCUGUCUCUUGCCCGUGGAUGAGACCAGCCCGAGGGACCUUUCUGCUGCUUUUAAACCUGCUGGCCUCAAUCACAGGUAGUAUCACCUUGAUUCCUGCUCAUUACCUUCUGCCCUAUUUUACUGAAGAUUCAGGGCAGAUUUGAAUCUGGCCUAGAAAAACAUCUUCCUGACCCCUCAGAGAGGGAGAGAGAGAGAGAGAGAGAGAGAGACACGAAGG